rnacentral:tRNA from 1 species
GCCGCGGUAGUAUAGCCCGGUCAAGCACGCUGCGCCGAAAGUAUGCGGGCCUUUCGAGCCCGUGACCCGGGUUCAAAUCCCGGCCGCGGCA